AUUGAACGCUGGCGGCAUGCCUAACACAUGCAAGUCGAACGGCAGCACGGCAGUAGCAAUACUGUGGGUGGCGAGUGGCGGACGGGUGAGGAAUACGUCGGAAUCUGCCCAGUCGUGGGGGAUAACUAGCCGAAAGGUUAGCUAAUACCGCAUACGACCGAGAGGUGAAGGCGGGGGACCGCAAGGCCUCGCGCGAUUGGAUGAGCCGACGUCGGAUUAGCUAGUUGGUGGGGUAAAGGCCCACCAAGGCGACGAUCCGUAGCUGGUCUGAGAGGAUGAUCAGCCACACUGGAACUGAGACACGGUCCAGACUCCUACGGGAGGCAGCAGUGGGGAAUAUUGGACAAUGGGCGCAAGCCUGAUCCAGCAAUGCCGCGUGUGUGAAGAAGGCCUCGGUUGUAAG
rnacentral:rRNA from 1 species